UACGUAGGGUGCAAGCGUUGUCCGGAAUUAUUGGGCGUAAAGAGCUCGUAGGUGGUCUGUCGCGUCGGCUGUGAAAACUCGGGGCUCAACCCCGAGCCUGCAGUCGAUACGGGCAGACUCGAGUGCGGUAGGGGAGACUGGAAUUCCUGGUGUAGCGGUGAAAUGCGCAGAUAUCAGGAGGAACACCGGCGGCGAAGGCGGGUCUCUGGGCCGUAACUGACGCUGAGGAGCGAAAGCGUGGGGAGCGAACAGG
rnacentral:rRNA from 1 species